GGAAGAGAUAACCGCUGAAAGCAUCUAAGCGGGAAACUUGCCUUGAGAUGAGUCUUCCCUGACCCUUUAAGGGUCCUAAAGGAACGUUUAAGACUAAGACGUUGAUAGGUUGGGUGUGUAAGCAUAGCGAUAUGUUGAGCUAACCAAUACUAAUGAACCGUGAGGCUUAACCUG
rnacentral:rRNA from 1 species